AAUUCCUGGUGCAGACAUUUCUGAAUUAGCCUUUUGAAUUGUCCCCACGCCUCAUGAAAACUUUCUCCUUCCAUCUGUUUAAAGAAAAAAAUCUCUCUUCUUAGUUU
rfam:Gossypium arboreum cultivar AKA8401 contig_13411_1, whole genome shotgun sequence.